AUGUCGGCCUCUGGAGGGAAGUCAGGGGACUCCUCUGGGCCUUCCUUGUUCGAUGGUGCUGUUUUUAUUCCUUCCCUUUUGUGUGGCUCGUUGUUUCAGGGUUUUUUUCCAUUCUGGGCCUUCCUUGUUCGAUGGUGCUGUUUUUAUUCCUUCCCUUUUGUGUGGCUCGUUGUUUCAGGGUUUUUUUCCAUUCUGGGUGUGUCCCAUGAGUCUCUGGUCUCUCUCGUUUUACAUAAAAGUCCUUAUGUCAUCCUCCUCCUCAGGGCCCAACUGAACACCGUACAGCAACUUGGGGCAGGGGUACAGUGUUGCCAUGUGGGAGUCUAGGAGCAGUGGGGGCAGGGGCUGGCUGAACACGGAACAAGAAACAGGGUACAGCAACUUGGGAGAGGGGGCAGGGCCUGGCUGAACACAAACAAGAAACAUGGGGUACAGCAAUUUGGGACAGGGGUACAAGGUAAGUAAGGGGUUUACAAACAGUAACCUUAACACAUAACACUUAGUAUAUUUGUGACAUUUUAGAAUUCAAAGACACUGUUUGUUUUAAAGACCCCCCAAAAAAUAUUCUAAGUUCAUAAAAACAAACAUAGAAGUACUAAAAGUGUUUCAUUAGCAAAUUUCAGUUAUGAAAUUUUCUAACCAAAUAUUUUCCACCUGUCACUUUGUUUACAAUGUCUACAAAAGUAUUUUCAUACCGAAAACCACUAACUACCUUUCAUGUUUCACUCACACCAACUCCUGUUAAAGUCAAUAGCAGGUUUCUGAAUAUAGCUGGUCUGUCACUGCCAUCACUAAAAUACUAAUUUACAUGUUUUCUUAUUUUUGAACCAAAAUAUAAACAUGGCUUUUAACAUUCAGUUUUUGUAGCUAAGUCUACAGAUACAAUAAUCACAAAACUAAAUUAAUUUGAGAUUACAGAAAAGUUAAAAACUAUACACGAGAAGGUAAUACCAGAAACUUCUAAAUUAACAAAAAUAGUUUGUCCUACAGCUCUGAGGUCAUGUCUUUAUACUUUCCUGUCUCGGUUCAGAAGACAGGUGUCUGCUAGGGAGGGCAGGAGCUUCGCUUGCAAUGAAAAUGUAGACCUCCCCUCCCUCCAAAUUAUUAUAAUUUUGAAAUCAAAGGGUUCUCAGGCAGAGAUCUGGGGAUAGGAAUAACAGUUCUUUACUAGUGUGUAUAACCAGGCAAACAAACAACAAUAACUACAGCAUUAACAAGAAAACAGAACCAGGGGCCCCGUGACAGCUUUCUCUGCUGAGAUGGGAAGGGAUGGAGGAGAGGCUUUGUUUCACAAACCCCCUCGGGCAGUCCCGGUGCUCCUGCAGGG
rnacentral:lncRNA from 1 species